UAAAUCAUUCAAUUGUUCAUACAAAUUAUUUUAAUUUCCUCCCACAAAUUAACAUAUUUAUUAAAAGAAGUUAAUCGGGAAGAAUGUUUACAUCUUAAUAGUUUGGUUAUUUCUGAUUGUUUUCAUCUGCCUACACUCAUUUUCAAAACAGGGAAAAUAGGCAGACCAAAAUUAUUGAAAACAACCAAACUAUAGGUCUUUUUCUGUUCAGAGGACAUCGCACAAUGAAAUUUUUUCUCAAAAAUUGUAUACAUUCUUCAUUAAACACUUAUUAAAUGUCCAGUUCAGAAUUAAUUUUGAAUUAAAAUAUUUGAAAGUGUAUUAUUAAAUGCAAUAAUUGUAAUUAUUGAUACAACGUAUCAUUCUGUUAAUCCUGUUAAGAUAAUUUCUUACUGUGAGGUAGGAGGGGGAGUUUAUCACUUAUUGACCAAACUAUUUAUAUGCUGCAGAUGUGUCCUCAAGAAUUUUAAAAUGGGAUGUCUCCAAAAUCAUUUUUUAAAGGGUUUUAUCAAUAUCCAUCAAAUGAAAAUUACAAUUUUUUUGCCGAUCUUGCAUUUGAGGUUUGCAAUAUUGUGUUACAAUUUGAUAUUUCUCUUGGUGAAUGCUUGAAAAACAGUUCGUUUUAAUAAUAUAUUUAGAGAAAUUUUCAGUUAUUUGUGUUUGUGGAUGAUUGAUAACAUGACAGUGGUGUGAACUGGUAAAUCCUUGUUCAAUGACGAACAUGAUUUUUCCCCUGAGUUUUAACAGCUUCAAAACGCCUUCAUUCGAACGGUGUAGACUUACUUUCCAAGUGCUUGCUGGACUUGAGAUAUUAUUCAGCAAACAAAAAAACAAAAAAAAAAGCGCUAGCCUAUUGUUGAACACUGUCGACACUGCUUUAACAAAAAGAAUAUAUCAAUAAAUCUGAAUGGAACAUGUAAUGAAUAUAAAUAAAAACCAAUUUAUGAGUG